rnacentral:ribozyme from 1 species
UUCUCCUGCUUUUCUCAAAAAAAGAAGAAGCGGGGUUUGGUGUGAAACAGCAAGCCAAGUCAAGUAUUAAUUACCUUUGUGCCCUGUGUUAUAGAUUACAUAAAAUAACAAACCGGAAAGUAAAAAAAA